rfam:Eubacterium sp. CAG:156 genomic scaffold, scf22
GCUUCUGUGGCUCAGUUGGUAGAGCGACGCACUCGUAAUGCGUAGGCCACGGGUUCGAAUCCCGUCAGGAGCU